GAUGAACGCUAGCGGCAGGCCUAAUACAUGCAAGUCGAACGGUGUCUUCGGACAUAGUGGCGCACGGGUGCGUAACACGUAUGCAACCUACCUUACAUUGGGGGAUAGCCUUUCGAAAGGGAGAUUAAUACCGCAUAAGACAGUAGCUGGGCAUCCAGCAGCUGUUAAAGAUUUAUCGAUGUAAGCUGGGCAUGCGUCCAAUUAGCUAGUUGGUGAGGUAAUGGCUCACCAAGGCUAUGAUUGGUAGGGGAACUGAGAGGUCAAUCCCCCACACUGGCACUGAGAUACGGGCCAGACUCCUACGGGAGGCAGCAGUAGGGAAUAUUGGGCAAUGGACGCAAGUCUGACCCAGCCAUGCCGCGUGCAGGAUGAAGGCGUUAUGCGUUGUAAACUGCUUUUAUACAGGAAGAAACGACUCUUGCGAGAGGCAUUGACGGUACUGUAUGAAUAAGCACCGG
rnacentral:rRNA from 1 species